rnacentral:rRNA from 1 species
GACAGAGGCCUCGAGCGUUAGGCGGAAUCACUGGGCGUAAAGCGUGCGCAGGCGGUUCGUUGUGUCGGCGGGGAAAGCCCCGGGCUCAACCUGGGAAUGGCCGUUGAAACUGGCGAACUGGAGUGUGGCAGAGGGGGGUGGAAUUCCGCGUGUAGCAGUGAAAUGCGUAGAGAUGCGGAGGAACACCGAUGGCGAAGGCAGCCCCCUGGGCUGACACUGACGCUCAGGCACGAAAGCGUGGGGAGCAAACAGG